AUUAUUAUACUUAUACUUUACCAUUGAUUGGACUAGUUAUACUGAAGAGAUUUUGAAAGAACUUAUUUUAUUUUAGUACAUCAUAAGUUGAGUGUCGAGGCACUUCUGCUGAAGACACAAUAUGGCAAUUGGAGCAUUGAUAAUGAUAGGUCUGCUGGUCCUGGGCACGUACUGGACCGUGAAGUACAUCACGAACCCAUUCGAGCACCGGAAUGUGACCGUAUCGACCACCUCCGCCAGCCCCGACUAUGUCAACAUUAUGUUCGAACAAUGAGUCCAGUGGAUCAUUGUUGUACCUACUCAUUAUACGUACUUAAUGGUCUUAUUAAUGCUGAUUGCUUAAUGGCUGAUCAAGUCUAUACGGAAUCCUCUCAUUU